UACGUAGGGGGCAAGCGUUGUUCGGAAUUACUGGGCGUAAAGGGCGCGUAGGCGGCCUGCUAAGUCGAACGUGAAAUCCCUGGGCUCAACCCAGGAACUGCGUCCGAUACUGGUUGGCUUGAAUCCGGGAGAGGGAUGUGGAAUUCCAGGUGUAGCGGUGAAAUGCGUAGAUAUCUGGAGGAACACCGGUGGCGAAGGCGACAUCCUGGACCGGUAUUGACGCUGAGGCGCGCAAGCCAGGGGAGCAAACAGG
rnacentral:rRNA from 1 species